AGUGAACGCUGGCGGUAGGCCUAACACAUGCAAGUCGAACGGCAGCACAGUAAGAGCUUGCUCUUACGGGUGGCGAGUGGCGGACGGGUGAGGAAUACAUCGGAAUCUACUUUUUCGUGGGGGAUAACGUAGGGAAACUUACGCUAAUACCGCAUACGACCUACGGGUGAAAGCAGGGGAUCUUCGGACCUUGCGCGAUUGAAUGAGCCGAUGUCGGAUUAGCUAGUUGGCGGGGUAAAGGCCCACCAAGGCGACGAUCCGUAGCUGGUCUGAGAGGAUGAUAAGCCACACUGGAACUGAGACACGGUCCAGACUCCUACGGGAGGCAGCAGUGGGGAAUAUUGGACAAAGGGCGCAAGCCUGAUCCAGCCAUACCGCGUGGGUGAAGAAGGCCUUCGGGUUGUAAAGCCCUUUUGUUGGGAAAGAAAAGCAGCAGGUUAAUACCCCGCUGUUCUGACGGUACCCAAAGAAUAAGCACCGGCUAACUUCGUG
rnacentral:rRNA from 1 species